rnacentral:lncRNA from 1 species
UUUAGACAUUCCAAGCUAAACCUACACCAAAUAUCCCAAAGAGAGCAGCAGCCUUUGAUUGGCUUUUGACGCACAUAAACGCCAAAACUUUUAUAUCUUCCAAAACCUUGGACACGGAGAUCUGCUUAUAGUGCGUUGCGCGAGCGUUUGGUAUUUUUGUCUUGGCAGUGGGAUGGGGGUUUUAUAUUUGCAUUCACAAUACAUCAGUUGUUCGAAAAAUGUUGGUUCCUGGUUCUUGUUGAUAAAUAGGUGUUUGAUGUUCUAGCUGCUGCCAUGGUUCUCGCCUUUCUUGGAUGGGGGAGUUUUAUCAUCUGCAGGAAGUGUUUUAGCUAGCGCGGGAUUUGGGUUUAGGCUUCUCGAAGCCGACUUGAGGCAAUUACAACCAGCUAGUUUAUCUUCAAAUGGCCUUUUGCAGCAGCCACAAUAGCAACCACAUUUAAUAAAUGAUGAAUGUUUUCCGUGACACGGAAUCGCAGCCAUAGCCACCGUACAAACCGAUGUAAAUUCCGGCGAACGACGGAGAUAAACCACCACCAAUAGGGUUCACAUUGGAGCCCUAGGUCAUCUUCGGUUAGACCACCAUCAGUCACCAUCGUCGCUAGAGUCGCCGGGUUAGCGGCUGUCGUGAGAGAGUUCAGUCACCCAUUGGAGAUAUUGAGGCAAAGAUUAACCCUAAUGUGUUGCAGGAUAAAUCGAAGAUGAAACGGUGGAGGUAUUGAGAGACACGUGGGGAUAACGUGGCCAUCAAUGGAUCUGUUUAUGUAUGGCCCAAUGAAGAGUGCCAGGGUGUUUUGGCACUCAUUCCCUCAGCUUAUUAUCAUAUUUAGAUAGAUUAGAUUAGAUUCUUUACUUAUUCUUUUUUAUAUAUGAUUUUUUAUGAAUAACAUUUAUUAUAACUUGUUAUACAUAAUUUA